GAGUCUCACCCUGUUGCUCAAGCUGACUGAAAUGCAGCGGUGCAAUCUCGGCUGACUGCAGCCUCCAUCUCCCGGGUUCAAGCGAUUCUCGUGCCUCAGCCUCCCGAGUAGCUGGGAUUACAGGCACCCGCCACCAUGCCCAAUUCAUUUUUUUUUUUUUUUUUUUUUUUAGUAGAGACAGGUUUUGCCAUGUUGGCCAGGCUGGUCUCCAACUCCUGACCUCAAGUGAUCUGCCUGCCUCAGCCUCCCAAAGUGCUAGGAUUACAGGCAUGAGCCACAGCGCCCAGCCAUUUUUUUUUCUUUUUUCUGAGAUGGUCUCCUUCUGUUGCUCAGGCUAGAUGGAGUACAGUGGCGACAUCAUGGCUCACUGCAGCCUCCACCUCCCAUGCUCAAGAGAUCCCCCCACCUCAGCCUCUUAGGUAGCUGCGACGACACGUGUGCACCAGCAGAAGCAGCUAAUUUUUUGUAGAGACCGGGGUCUCCCUAUGUUGCCCAAGCUGGUCUAGAACUUGUGGGCUCAAGCGACCCACCGGCCUUGGCCUCCCAAAGUGCUAUGAUUACAGGUCUUAUGUUCUUAAAGUUUUUCUUUGACAUGGUAUAGGAUAGUCUAGUAACUUAACAUACUGUGGUUUUCAACAGGCUAGCGCUUAUGAUCUGUAAAAGAACUCUUCAGAGAUGAGCUCAAUUUUACCAUGAAUUGGGACACUUUCCAUUUCUUUCUAUUCUAUAGAGCAGUUUACUUGUCAUGAGCUCUGUCUUUUGAAAACUUGAAAGCCUGCAGCAAUAAAACCAGCUGCACCUGGUGCAUGGGAUAGGCAUGGAAUUGAGGAGGGAGUUCAAACUACGGUCAGCCCUCUGUAUCCUCGGGUUCAAGAUCCUUGGAUUUAACCAACUGUGCAUCAAAAAUAUUUGGAAAAAGUAAAACAAUAAAAAGCAAAAAGUUAUAAAUACUUUAUAACAGGUACUUACAAAGCACUUACGUUGUAUUAGGUAUUAUAGUAAUCUAGAGAUGAUUUAAAGUAUACGGAAGGAUGUGCAUAGGUUAUAUGCAAAUACUAUGCCAUAUUAUAUCAGGGACUUGAGCAUCAGUGAAUUUUGGUAUCUCUGGGGUCCUGGAACCAAUAUCCUGAAGUUACUAAGGGAUGACUGUCUUCAGUUUCUUCUUUGGUUAUUAGUUUAUUCUCUGAUGUAUUUUUGUUGUUGUUUUGUCUUUUUGUUUUUGCCUCUGCAAGUCAAUGUCGGAAACUUAGCUGUUCUAGACUACCAUUAGCUCAAAGCUACCAGUAAGCAGACUACCACUGCAAUCUAAGCAACCGAUUUUUUUCCCCAUCAGAUUGGCAAAAAUUAAGCAUCUGUUGAUGUUGAAGCUGUAGGGAGUUUUCCUGAGCAAGUAAUUAUGACAGCCCUUUUUGUUAGGCACCUAGACGAUUCAUCAAAAUGAAAUAAAAUACCCAUGCGCUUGAAGAAGUUAUCUGGUUAUUUCCUUAUCUGGGUGCUGGUUAUGUGAGGUGCACAGUUGAUGAAAACUUAUUAAGCUUUAUAUUUAUAAUAGGUACAAUUUUCUGUAUGUGUAGUAGACUUCAAUAGUUUUUAAAAUGUCUUUUGCCACACCCCGCAGCUGUGUAUAAUGCUAUUCGCUUAACAGUGAAAAACAUGGCAAUGACCUGAAUCCCCCUGGCUCCCAGGAUCCUACCCCCUUAAGUUAAACAAAUGAAAUAACUUCCACUGUCCUUCCUAAUGCCUUAAUUCGGUCCUCAGUUAAACUGAUGGUGGGCGCUGUUUUUUUUCCAGGGAACGAUUCUGGGAGACGGAGGAGGAGACGCCAGCAUUUCGCCCCCGGCCCCUCGAUUGGGCUGCGGUCCGCUCCCGGCCUCACUCGAGCAGGCCCCGCCCUCCCAGAGGCCGUUAGUCCAAGUCAAGUGAUCGUCGACUCAGUUGACCCCGUCGGACCGGAAAAAGAAAUCCCCGGGCCCUGGCUUCCUGGCGCGAUGAUGAGGCACCAGGGGAUCCAGGCUGUAGGUGAGGGGCUGGUGAGCAGGGGCCUGGCACCCGCUGAAGGUCUCCUUUCCCCAUAGUAUGAGAAGAUCCUGAAGCUCACAGUUGACGCUAAGUUUGGUGAGUACCCCACUGAGUCCACAGGCCCCAGGCAACCCUGGGACCUUGGCCUGGUGCCUGGUACAGAGGGUCCCCGCACCCCUCCCAGCAGCAUCCUUAACCUGCCUUCCCUAGUGGAGGAGCAUGAGGGAAAGAAAGACAUUGACAGUCCCACCUUCCUGUCCUCUGCCAGCUCCUGAUGGAGCAGUAGCAGUGCCCACAACCCUUAGGAAGCCUUGGGGCCUUGAGCUGAAGUUAAUAGGGCAACUGGGAGGUGGCUGGGGCCACAGUGACACCCCCUGUCCCAGCCAUGGGUCCCUCAGGGUCAGGCGAUGUGAAGGCCACAGUGGCAGUGCUGAGUUUCAUGCUCUCCAGUGCUGCCAAGCACAGUGUCGAUGGCGAAUCCUUGGCCAGUGAACUGCAGCAGCUGGGGCUGCCCAAAGAGCACGCGGCCAGCCUGUGCUGCUGUUAUGAGGAGAAGCAAAGCCCCUUGCAGAAGCACUUGCGGGUCUGCAGCCUAUGCAGUAAGUAUGAGGCCAGCCAGGGUCCAGGCUCAUUCUAGAAGGUGCACGCAGCACACAAAGUGCAUGGAGAGUCCAGGGAGAUGACCUAACCAUGGUCACAUACCGAGCAGCCGCAGAGCCGGGACGUGGCCCUCAGUCUCCUGACUCCGCGCGCUCUGUGAUGUGUACGUACAGGAUCAGACCUUGCCCUUUCCUCCUGGCUGACCCUUCCUUAGUCCCCUGUGCCCCAUGUGUGAGCACCCAGCUCACUCUCAUUCCUCCCUCUCCAAAGCAUGGUCCCUGGCAGCACGAGUGGCAGAAGGGACAGCAGAGACUGUGGACCCCUCAGCUGCACCUAAGAUCUCUGUGUGGUCUAGCUGUGUGUGCUGGGGGAGGCUUUUGGCCACCAUUUCCCCCUCUGUAAAUGAGACCGAUACCUGUGGCAUGGAGGACAGGAGGCUGGUGUGAGUGCCAAGCACUUGGAGCAGGGACGCAGUGAGCAUGGACGUGGGAGCAGGGGUGUUCCUCAACUUUAUGCACCUUGGGGAUGGGAGUGGGGCUCCCUGCGUGGGUGGACAAGUCAUUGUUUUCUCCCACCCCACAUUUGUCCCAGCCCUGCAAGUCCAAUCCUUGUGGGUCUAGGAGGGAAGAAGCCCAUGGCUGUGUGACCUCAGGCUGGUGCCUGGCCCUCUCUGGCUGUGAGUUCCUGGGAAAGUCAGCACCCAAGGCAUGCCCUCAAGUUUAGCACUUUGACAAGAAGGGCGGGGACACUGGGAUCAGGCCCAACCCUCUGGCCCCAAAUCCCACGGCCCCAGCUGGAGGAUGAGGAGAUGCUGAGCUUGGAUGGGGGAAUCAAGGGUGUAAAGGGGCCCGCUCACCCCUCAGCUUGGCUCAAAGGUUCAAGGCGUCAAAGGUUCAGCCUGCGACUCAGGAAGGAGAGCUGGCCCAGCCAGACACUCACCAGGACAAGGGCAACUGUGACGAGCAGGAGGCCCAGGAUGAGGAGAGCCACAGCAUAGCUGGAGAUAAAGGCAUCCAGCAGGCUGGAGGCUUUCGGGCUGGGAGUGCCUAGAGCAGAGCAAGAAGGCCAUGGCCUGGUGGGGCUUUGCCUCCCAGACUUCUAAGAAGACAGAAUCUGGGCCCAGAAGCUGCUGCGGGACCAGAGAGCUGGGACUAGGAGCACCCUGGAGGGCUCCAUGAGGAGGGGAGGCAGGCUUCAGAUCAGGGCAUGUGGAGGCAGCGAGCCCAAGGGAGGAGGCAGAGGGACAGAGGGAGGCGGGCCUGCAGAGGGAAGGAGGUGAUGACCGUGUCUACCAAGAGGCCCUCUGCCUCCCACAGGGUGUGCAGACCCUGGCGUGCACAGUCCCACACGACGGCCUGGGCUGGCGCCACCCUGAAGAAGGUGGCACCCACUCUGGCGGUCAGUGGGUCCGGCCUGCUGAGAGGAUUAUCACAGACUUCAGGGGACUGUGCAGCCUUGCGGGACUAAGGGAGGUCAUGUCUUCCAGCCUCCUGUCCUCAACCCCACAAUGCUGUUCUGACCCCUGGGUCACCCAGGGCCACCCUGGACCCACCGGAAUUCCUCCACCACCACUUGGUCAAAGUUCUGCAGAGAUCUGAGGACGAGGGUCAGCUGGGGGUCAGGAGAGGAUGAAGAGGGUCACAGCUCUAGCAAACGAAGCUUCAUUCCUGGUGGUGCCUGGCCCACCCCUCUGCUGCCAAUCUCAGGCUGGCCCAGCCCUGCAGAGUAGGUGCCCAGAGGCAUCGUAGCGGUUCCUGUCAUGCUGGUCUCCCCCCGGGGCCCCCUCUGGAGCCUGGUACCACAGAUCUCAGGGUAGGGGGUACAGCUCAGUCUCCCUUCCCCCUCAUCCCCCUCAUAGGGGCUUGGUCCACCAAGGCCCCUGACUGCUAGGGGACCCACACGCAUGGCCUCCUUCUUUCUGACUGCUGGCCCUUCCCCAGCCUGGAUACUUGAGCCCUGGGCAGAGGGGUAACGAUCCCAGGACUGUCUUCGCAAGCAGAGAGGCUACUUGGCACCAGGCCCUUACUCCUUGGGCUGAGCUCAGCAGCAGGUGUGUCACCAAGGUCCCCUGGGCAGAAGGAGCUCAGCCCUGAGGGCCCAUCACUCGCAACUCCUGCAUGUUCCUGCUAGGCAUCCACCCUGGGGACCCAGCUUCCCCCUGCCCCCAGCUGCUGGCAGCCCCGUCUUGAUUCAUCCAGGGUCCUGGAGGCCAUGCCAGGAAGCAGCCAGCAGCUGGGAGGAGCACGUGGUGUUUCUGCAUCUUUUUUUAUGGAGCUCCCGUGGGUGGGAGGGGCUACAGACUCAAGGGAGACUGCAGGCCACCCCUUCCCCACUCCCUGGCUGGGUGGGCUUCCAGCUCAGGAGUCUGACUGGAAGGAUGGGACCGUGCUGUCCCAGAGGCAGGACUGAGUAGUCCAGGCCCAGUUUUACCCUCCAGCAGGGCCCCUUUCAUUCAUUUGUCCAGCUGGCUUUGCCCAAAACCCAGGUGAUGUCUAUGUGGACUGUGUCGCCUGUCCCCAAGGGGAGUCUGGCUCCAGUCCUGGCCUGGAACUUGGAGACCUUAGAAUUAGAGGCCACAUCUGGCAGGGUGGACCAGCCAGGGCAGGUAUCAUGUUGGCAGCCCCAGACCUGACACCACGGCUCCCAUGUCCCCUCUCCACUUCCGUCCUGCACAUCAUCUACGCUACGUGCUGUCUCUGAUGAAUCCAAGCUGUCAGCUUCUGUCAGCUUGGCCGGGAAGUCACGCUGACCGUAAGGGGAAUGGUGCAGCCUGAGUUGGGGGCUGAGUGGGAAUGGGCCUGGUGUGGGGUGGGGGAGGUGGGGGCGAGGCGGGUGCCUGGCACCUCUCUGCUCAUCUUCCCUUCUCCUUUGCCCACAAAGGAGGCGUCUUCUCCAUGUCCCUCUGCCACCCUGGGAACAUAAAAUUCUGCCCCAGGUCUGUCUUCCUUUGGACAUAGCCCACCUACCUUCCUGUGGGACUCAGGGCUUUGUUUUGUCCUGUGGCCCACAUGAGAAGCAAUUAUCCCUGCCCUGCUCAGCUGAGAGAGGACAAACUGAGGCAGAGCAGGGGAACAACUCUGUCAUAGUCUGACUGUUAAUGGCAGAGUCAAGACCAGCCGUUCCCUGAGUGUCAGGUCCAGUGGACACUGCAUUAGUCCACUUCGCGUUGCUCUAGAGGAAUACCUGAGACUGGGUUAUUUAUUUAUUUAUUUUUGAGAUGAAGUCUAGCUCUGUCACCCAGGCUGGAGUACAGUGGCACCAUCUCAGGACACUGCAACCUCUGCCUCCUGGGUUCAGGCUACUGUCCUGCCUCAGCCUCCUGAGUAGCUGGAAUUAUAGCCAUGCACCACCAUGCCUGGCUAAUUUGUUGUAUCUUUAGUAGAGACAGGGUUUUGAGAUGGAGUUUCACUCUUGUGGCCCAAGCUAGAGGGCAAUGGUGUGAUCAGCUCACUGCAACCUCUGCCUCCCAGUUCAAGCAAUUUUCAUGCCUCAGCCUCCCAAGUAGCUUGGAUUACAGGCAUGCACCACCAUGCCUGCCUAAAUUUUGUAUUUUUAGUUGACCGAGUUUCACCAGGUUGGCCAGGCUGGUCUUGAACUCCUGACCUCAAGUGAUUCACCCACCUCGGCCUCCCAAAAUGUUGGAAUUACAGGCGUGAGCCACUGCUCCUGGCCCUGAGACUGGGUGAUUUAUGCAAGAGAUUUAUUUGCCUCACAGUUCUGCAGGCUGUACAAGCAUCUGCUAGGCUUCUGGUGAAGCCUCAGGAAGCUUUUACUUCUGGUGGGAGGCAAAGAGGGAGCAGACGUGUCGCAUGGUGAGAGAAGAAGCAAGACAGAGGAGACAUCAAGCUCUCCUGUGAACUAAUAGAAAACUCACUCAUUGAAUCACUCGAACCUGGGAGGUGGAGGUUGCAGUGAGCCAAGAUCAUGCCACUGCACUCCAGCCUGGGCUAUGAGCGAGACUCUGCCUCAAAAAAUAAAAAAAUAAAAAAUAAAAAAUAAGAAAACUCACUCAUUACCAUGGGGAGGGCACUAAGCCAUUCAUGAGGGAUCCCCCACCAUGACCCAAACACCUCACAUUAUAGGCCCCAUCUCCAGCAUUGGGGAUCACAUUUCAACACGAGAUGUGGAUGGGACAAGUAUCCAAACUAUGUCAGAGGCCUCCCCCUCCCUCUCAUCAGAGUCUUCCGUCUUCAGUUCAGGGGCAUGCUGGCUUCCAUGCCUGGCUUCCUAGGAAGUCAUCUUGGCCCCAUGGGGUUGGGCAGGGCCACUAGCCCGAGGGUUGGAGCCCUAUCUCUCCUAGUCCCAGCCUGGGUCUCCAUCAUGGGCUAGCCCGCUCUGCUUGCUGCGUUCUCUCCACACCUGCUCCCUGCAGCCCAGGAGUCAGUCUGGGUGCAGGCCUGGGUAGAGUUCCAGGAGCAGAUUCUGCCCCCCAGCUCAUACCUCCUGUGCACCAUGGCAGCCAAAAUCCACCAGCAUGACCAGGAGUGCUGGCUUGUUCUUGUAGUCUCAGUGUUUUGGGAGGCUGAAG